CCUACGGGAGGCAGCAGUGAGGAAUAUUGGUCAAUGGGCGCGAGCCUGAACCAGCCAAGUCGCGUGAGGGAUGACGGUCCUACGGAUUGUAAACCUCUUUUGCCGGGGAGCAAGCGUGCGUUCGUGAACGCGCGUCGAGAGUACCCGGAGAAAAAGCAUCGGCUAACUCCGUGCCAGCAGCCGCGGUAAUACGUAGGUGGCAAGCGUUGUCCGGAUUUACUGGGUGUAAAGGGCGUGCAGCCGGAGAGACAAGUCAGAUGUGAAAUCCACGGGCUCAACCCGGGAACUGCAUUUGAAACUGUUUCCCUUGAGUGUCGGAGAGGUAAUCGGAAUUCGUUGUGUAGCGGUGAAAUGCGUAGAUAUAAGGAAGAACACCAGUGGCGAAGGCGGAUUACUGGACGAUAACUGACGGUGAGGCGCGAAAGCGUGGGGAGCAAACAGGAUUAGAUACCCGUGUAGUC
rnacentral:rRNA from 1 species